rnacentral:rRNA from 1 species
CUGGGGGCGUGCUUACCAUGCAAGUCGAACGGAGAUUCAGCAAUGGAUCUUAGUGGCGAACGGGUGAGUAACGCGUAGGCAAUCUGCCUUCUAGAUGGGGACAACAUCCCGAAAGGGGUGCUAAUACCGAAUGUUGUAGUUGGUUCGCAUGGACUAGCUACUAAAGGUGGCCUCUGAAUAUGCUACCGCUAGAAGAUGAGCCUGCGUCUGAUUAGCUAGUUGGAGGGGUAACGGCCCACCAAGGCUUCGAUCAGUAGCCGGUCUGAGAGGAUGAACGGCCACACUGGGACUGAGACACGGCCCAGACUCCUACGGGAGGCAGCAGUGGGGAAUCUUCCGCAAUGGACGAAAGUCUGACGGAGCAACGCCGCGUGAGUGAAGAAGGUUUUCGGAUCGUAAAGCUCUUUCGUUAGGGACGAACGUGCUCUUUGUGAAUAAUGAGGAGUAAUGACGGUACCUAAAUAAGAAGCCACGGCUAACUACGUGCCAGCAGCCGCGGUAAUACGUAGGUGGCAAGCGUUGUCCGGAAUUAUUGGGCGUAAAGCGCGCGCAGGCGGGAUAUCAAGUCUGUCUUAAAAGUGCGAGGCUCAACCUCGUGAGGGGACGGAAACUGGUAUUCUUGAGUGUCGGAGAGGAAAGUGGAAUUCCAAGUGUAGCGGUGAAUGCGUAGAGAUUUGGAAGAACACCAGUGGCGAAGGCGACUUUCUGGACGAUGUCUGACGCUGAGGCGCGAAAGCUAGGGGAGCGAACGGGAUUAGAUACCCCGGUAGUCCUAGCCGUAAACGAUGGGUACUAGGUGUAGGGGGUAUCGACCCCUCCU